AUUGAACGCUGGCGGCAGGCUUAACACAUGCAAGUCGAGCGGGGGAGGUUACUUCGGUAACUGACCUAGCGGCGGACGGGUGAGUAAUGCUUAGGAAUCUGCCUAUUAGUGGGGGACAACAUUCCGAAAGGAAUGCUAAUACCGCAUACGCCCUACGGGGGAAAGCAGGGGAUCUUCGGACCUGGCGCUAAUAGAUGCGCAUAAGUCGGAUUAGCUAGUUGGUGGGGUAAAGGCCUACCAAGGCGACGAUCUGUAGCGGGUCUGAGAGGAUGAUCCGCCACACUGGGACUGAGACACGGCCCAGACUCCUACGGGAGGCAGCAGUGGGGAAUAUUGGACAAUGGGGGGAACCCUGAUCCAGCCAUGCCGCGUGUGUGAAGAAGGCCUUUUGGUUGUAAAGCACUUUAAGCGAGGAGGAGGCUCCUUUAGUUAAUACCUAAAGAGAGUGGACGUUACUCGCAGAAUAAGCACCGGCUAACUCUGUGCCAGCCGCCGCCGUAAUAC
rnacentral:rRNA from 1 species